rnacentral:tRNA from 1 species
UAUUUAAGUAGUUUAAUAAAAAUAUUGAUUUGUGGUGUCAAUGAUAUGAAAAGUUCAUCUUAGAUC